CAUUACAGCAGUUCAUGCCCUUUGGAUAGAUCUCCCACCCACUGUCAUCACUACGAUAGUUGCUUUGGCGGGCCGCCAGGCCCUGCCCGGCCGCCAGCCCGGCUGGUGUUGCGCCCGCCAGAAGCCCAACCAAACAUUCUCUGAACUUGUCGUCUUAGCCUACAAGCAAUAAUUAAAACUUUCAACAACGGAUCUCUUGGUUCCGGCAUCGAUGAAGAACGCAGCGAAAUGCGAUAAGUAAUGUGAAUUGCAGAAUUCCGCGAAUCAUCGAAUCUUUGAACGCAUAUUGCGCCCUCUGGUAUUCCGGGGGGCAUGCCUGUCCGAGCGUCAUUACAGCACUCAAGCACGGCUUGUUUUGUUGAGCAAUUGUUCUUUUUAUGAACAGGCUUGAAAUGCAGUGACGAGCGAUACUGAGUUUGGUGCCCCGAGUGUUAGGAGGCUUUGUCACACACUCUUGUGGGCCAGCCGGCGUUCUGUCAACUUGAUAUCAUUAUCGUUAGGUUGACCUCGGAUCAGGUAAGAGUACCC
rnacentral:rRNA from 1 species